AAAAUACAUAAUCACCGUAAAAUUAUUUUAUGUUACGUAUAUUUAUGAAUGUAAAAUUGUAGUGUAAAAUGUACAUAAAAAACAAAUUUUUAGGUCUUGUGACCCAUAAUUUUGUUUUUUUAUGUCAAAUUUUAUGUUGUGAAUCAAUGUGAAUGUAACUAUUUGUAUAUCAUAUGUAAUUUAUGUAUGAAACAAUCGUAAAAUUACCUCGGGUGAAGAAUAACUUAUUCAUGAAUAGUGUUACUCACACACACACACACACACACACACACACACACACACACACACACACACACACACACACACACACACACACACACACACACACACACACACACACACACACA
rnacentral:lncRNA from 1 species